CACUAAAAUUGAACAUAAUAAAUAUGGCGCAUUAAAACAACAUAUAAUAAAAAUAAAAUAUAGCCACUUAUACGCAUGUUUGGACCCUUGUAGGCACCCGAUAUAGUACCUACAACCGUCACUGAAAAAGUACUGAUACGUCACCUCACGCAUGCGCACGAACGCGCCUGCCGCGCGGAAUAUCUCGCGAGUUCCCAUCACUGAUUGGCGGUUGUUGAUGACCAGUUACGCCGCGCGAAUGGGCUGUGAACAUUGAAGUCGUGGAGUGGCGACAAUUGUCGAUUAAAAAUCUUUUCGGUCGUUUCAGAUUCGGUGAACGAAUCUUGGUAGAAUGGUUCUGUUCACGAUAAUCGCGAGGGUGGCGGACGGUCUGCUACUGGCAGCUACCAUGCAGGAUAACGAGCAGGAUGGUAAGAACAUUGUGGAGUAUCAGAAUCAAGCAAAGUUGUUAUUUAGAAAGUUGGGUCCACAAUCUCCAACAAGAUGUAUCCUUGAAACAGGACCAUACCUUUUCUAUUAUUUAAUCGAAAAUGAGGUAUGUUAUUUGGUAUUAUGUGAAAGAAAUUACAGUACACGCAUAGCUUAUAGCUAUCUGGAAGACAUAGCACAGGAGUUUCAUUCUCAGUAUGGCAAACGUGUAAAUACAGUAACCAGGCCUUAUACUUUCAUUGAAUUUGAUACGUAUAUUCAGAAAGCUAAGAAGAUCUUCACAGACAGUAGAUCUCGCAGAAAUUUGAAUACACUCAACACCCAGUUGCAGGAUGUGCAGAGAAUUAUGGUACAAAAUUUUGAUGAUGUUUUACAAAGGGAUAUCGUACUCUCAGAAUUGGAUACAAAGACGCAAAACUUGUCCAUGCUGUCGCAGAAAUAUAAAAAAGACGCCAGACAUCUAAACAGCAAAUUAAUGUAUACAGCUGUUGCUUUUAUUAUUGCAUUUGUGGUCUUCCUGUUAUAUUUUUCAUUCUUUAGUUAAAUAACACAAGUAAAAAAACUUCGGUGAUAUGCGUCAAAGGUUUACGCAGUGUUCAUGCAACUAUAAUGAAAGCAAGAGGGAAAGUAUUAUAUAUACUUAUAAUAAAGACGAUUCGAAGAAAAUAAAGUUUAUGCUCAAGAAGAAAAUAAAGAUGAUCCUUUGCAGCUUUUUUCUUAUGGAAGAUGAAGAGCUCGAUCGGAGAAACGGCGGGACUCGAAUGCAUCUUCUACGUCUGUUGAGAAGCGGCUGGCGAUCGAGAAGAUACCGGCGGCUACGAGUCUACCGGAAUUGACCGGAAUCACGGCCGGCGUCAGCGAAUUCCUCGCAUUUAAUUAUUUUAAAUUACAGUUUUAAUAUUUUUAAUACACUUUCACUAAUAUAAUUGCGCCGUAUUUUAAUUUUUAUAUUUUACUCUAAUUGUAUAUAAGACCAAUAGAUACUUUCUUGUAUGAUUAUAUGAAUAUUUAAAAUUAUAAAAUUAAGAGUAACAAAAGUUUAAAUAAAGAUUUUUGUAUUUUUUUUAAUUAUACGGAUCAUUACAGACAUACAAAACAAAGCUUAUAUGAUUA